AGUAACACGUGAGUAACCUGCCUUACACAAGGGGAUAGCCUUUGGAAACGAAGAAUAAUACCCUAUAACGUCAAUCUAUCGCAUGAUAGAAUGACCAAAGAUUUAUCGGUGUAAGAUGGGCUUGCGUCUGAUUAGCUAGUUGGUGAGAUAAAAGCCCACCAAGGCGACGAUCAGUAGCCGGCUUGAGAGAGUGUACGGCCACAUUGGGACUGAGACACGGCCCAA
rnacentral:rRNA from 1 species